UUCCUUCGGGAACACUCUACACAGGUGCUGCAUGGUUGUCGUCAGCUCGUGUCGUGAGAUGUUGGGUUAAGUCCCGCAACGAGCGCAACCCUCGCCCUUAGUUGCCAUCAGGUAAUGCUGGGAACUCUAGGGGGACCGCCUGGUUUAACCAGGAGGAAGGUGGGGAUGACGUCAAAUCAUCAUGGCUCUUACGUCCAGGGCGAGACGCGUGCUACAAUGGCCGGUACAGAAGGAUGCCAAGUCGUGAGGCUGAGCUAAUCCAGAAAACCGGUCUCAGUUCGGAUUGGAGUCUGCAAUUCGACUCCAUGAAGCUGGAAUCGCUAGUAAUCGCGGAUCAGCAUGCCGCGGUGAAUAUGUUCCCGGGCCUUGUACACACCGCCCGUCAAGCCAUGAAAGAUGGGAGUACCCGAAGUCGCCAGUCUAAUCCGCAAGGAAGGGCUGCGCCGGAGGUAAGACCAUUGAUUGGGGCUAAGUCGUAACAAGGUAGCUGUAUCGGAAGG
rnacentral:rRNA from 1 species